rnacentral:rRNA from 1 species
AGAGUUUGAUUAUGGCUCAGGAUGAACGCUGGCGGCGUGCUUAACACAUGCAAGUCGAACGGGGAUGCUUAUGGAAGGAGUGCUUGCAUUCCGGAAGGAUGUAUCUUAGUGGCGGACGGGUGAGUAACGCGUGGGUAACCUGCCCCAUACCGGGGGAUACCACCUGGAAACAGGUGCUAAUACCGCAUAAGCGCACGGGAGCGCAUGCUCCUGUGUGAAAAACUCCGGUGGUAUGGGAUGGACCCGCGUCUGAUUAGCCAGUUGGCAGGGUAACGGCCUACCAAAGCGACGAUCAGUAGCCGGCCUGAGAGGGUGGACGGCCACAUUGGGACUGAGACACGGCCCAAACUCCUACGGGAGGCAGCAGUGGGGAAUAUUGCACAAUGGGGGAAACCCUGAUGCAGCGACGCCGCGUGAGUGAAGAAGUAUUUCGGUAUGUAAAGCUCUAUCAGCAGGAACGAGACAAGACGGUACCUGACUAAGAAGCCCCGGCUAACUACGUGCCAGCAGCCGCGGUAAUACGUAGGGGGCAAGCGUUAUCCGGAAUCACUGGGUGUAAAGGGAGCGUAGACGGCUGAACAAGCCUGAAGUGAAAGGCGGGGGCCCAAC